rnacentral:lncRNA from 1 species
GUGUGAAUGUUCUGUAAAGGUUGAAUGUCUUUGUGCGGCUGCGAAUAACUUGAAAGAGCAUCUAUCUAAGUGUUGGACCAGUAGAGAUCAGAAGUUUAUAGUUUGAUAAUGGUUUCUGAACUUAUUUGAUCAUUUUUGAUAGAUCUAAGAGUUAAAUCUAGAUUGCAGCAUCGAUUAGAUCGAUGCAAAUUUUAUUUUCAGAUCUUAUAUGCAUGUUAAAUCAUAUUAUAUAUCUUGAUAUAAUAGUCUAAAUUAGAUCUUAUGCAUGUAAAUUAGGUUAAAUUAUUUAAUCUAAUACUUUUACUGUACAAA